UACGUAGGGACCGAGCGUUGUCCGGAAUCAUUGGGCGUAAAGAGCGUGUAGGCGGCCACUUAAGUCCUGCGUGAAAUCUUGCGGCUCAACCGCAAGCGGUCGUGGGAAACUGGGUGGCUAGAGUGCGGGAGAGGAGAGUGGAAUUCCUGGUGUAGCGGUGGAAUGCGCAGAUAUCAGGAAGAACACCCGUGGCGAAGGCGGAUCUCUGGGCCAUUACUGACGCUGAGGAGCGAAAGCGUGGGGAGCGAACAGG
rnacentral:rRNA from 1 species